UACGUAGGUGGCAAGCGUUGUCCGGAUUUAUUGGGUUUAAAGGGUGCGUAGGUGGCCCUGUAAGUCAGCGGUGAAAUACUCCAGCUUAACUGGAGGGGUGCCAUUGAUACUGAUGGACUUGAGUCAAGUCGAGGUAGGCGGAAUUGACGGUGUAGCGGUGAAAUGCUUAGAUAUCGUCAAGAACACCAAUAGUGAAGACAGCUUACUGGGCUUAAACUGACGCUGAGGCACGAAAGUGUGGGGAUCAAACAGG
rnacentral:rRNA from 1 species